rnacentral:tRNA from 3 species
UCCUCGGUAGCUCAAUCGGCAGAGCGGGUGGCUGUUAACCACUAGGUUGUAGGUUCGAGUCCUACCCGAGGAGCCA